rnacentral:rRNA from 1 species
GACGAACGCUGGCGGCGUGCUUAACACAUGCAAGUCGAACGGAAAGGCCUUUUCGGAGGUACUCGAGUGGCGAACGGGUGAGUAACACGUGGGUGAUCUGCCCUGCACUCUGGGAUAAGCCUGGGAAACUGGGUCUAAUACCGGAUAGGACCGCACUUUAGUGUGUGUGGUGGAAAGUUUUUUCGGUGUAGGAUGAGCCCGCGGCCUAUCAGCUUGUUGGUGGGGUAAUGGCCUACCAAGGCGGCGACGGGUAGCCGGACUGAGAGGUUGGUCGGCCACAUUGGGACUGAGAGACGGCCCAGACUCCUACGGGAGGCAGCAGUGGGGAAUAUUGCACAAUGGGCGCAAGCCUGAUGCAGCGACGCCGCGGGGGGGAUGACGGCCUUCGGGUUGGAAACUCCUUUCGCCAGGGACGAAGCGUUUUGUGACGGUACCUGGAGAAGAAGCACCGGCUAACUACGUG